CGAGAGGGUGAUACAGGUAAAGAGGCAGAUUCCAAAGACACAGCUGCGUGCUAAAGGACAUGAGAAUGUUCAAAGAUGGCGCAGUGCCCUUCCUUGACAAAGUACUAUAGAGCUGGAAACACCUCGGAUCACAAUGUUGCUGGAAAGGAGCCAAUUCAACAGAGUAAGAUGUGAGACUCAUAAAAUCUUGGAAGUGACCUCACUGAGACGCAGACAUGUGCACGUGAAGAUGCUGCCGGGCUCCCAGGAGCUAGUAAAAGCUCCCUCCUCUUAGCUUGGAUUACUGUCACUCCUUGUGCUUUCUCCUCCUGCUGAAUGCACACAUCAUCAAGUUGGGGGAAAAGACUGCACUUAGGGUAUAUAAAUAGUCUCAAUUACUUAAAAGAAGAAGGUGGCACUUCGGAUUUCUGUUUACAAGUUUGUUAUUCGCCUUGUAUGUAAUUCACCUAUGUAUGGAAUGGGCUCAUUAAUGAGAAGAUCAAAAUCCAGGAGGAAGAUGUGAAAAACUAAGUCACAUACAAUUAUACUACUCAGUGAUAACCACUGUUAAUAUUUUGAUUCAUUUUCUGCGAAGCUUUCUUCAUAUAUGUUUGUUUCUUUAUACACACAUGUCUUUCUUAGUAACUUUUUCUUCUGUAGAACAAAAUCUCCUAUUAGAUCAGAGUAAAAUAUAGAGAAAUCAGUUUUUACUUUCUCUAGGAAAAAAAGUAUUUUCUGUUUAUUGUAUGUGCUGCUGAAGUGAGCACAGCAUUUUCUGUUUAUUAAAAAGGCAUUAAAUGAAUCCGAGGGACAGGUUUUCAAGAGAAGCAUCUUAACCAAUGAGCUUUGGAUAUUUCCUAAGUUCUAUUUCAAAAGCAAUUUGUACUGUGUGUAUAAAAACAUACUAUUUUAAAUGAAAGAAUAAUUUUAUUAUAAAAGCAAGUGACUUUUUGUAUAGAUUCAGAAUACACCAAAUAAACUAAGAAACCAUGACUUUUAAGAAUUGCAGAAUUAAUGCACAGGUCUAUAAAUAAGUGAUCCUGGAGUCCAUAACUGGUCCACAUGCUUACAGAUCAACAAUUUAUUUGGUAUGAUAACAUGGGCCAUGCUAACAAUCUAGAAAAUACCAGAAUCUUUCUGGAUAUUUAACAACAGAUUUGCAUAUGACGACCGCUAACUACUGUGUAAUUCUGGGUUUUCAGUUGCUUUUAGAGUAUAUUCUGCCACAUUUACCUAGAUAAAUAUAAAGAGUGAACUGGACAUCAACUUGAACUUUCUUUAAAAUCAUGGAAGAAAGGGAGAAAGCAGCAUAAGCAAAGUCAACUGACAAACUAGGAGGAAAAAAUUACAACUUAUAUCGUAGACAAGGGUAAUUGGCAUAUUUAGAGUUAAAAAUUCAAAGACCAACCCUCCUCACCCACCUCCCUGUAAAUGGGGAAAGGAUAUCCAGCCAGGCCUCCAAUAAAAGAAAGGCAAGUAACCCAUGAGUAUAUCAAAAGAUCCUCAAUGGUUUUGCUUAGUUGAAACUUAGGGAAAUCUAUUAGGUCUUGAGUUUCUGAAGAAGUACAUUUUAAAGGAGGGCUAGAAAUUAUCUGUUGGGAAUUGGCCUUUCUUAGAAUUAAAAUUCCCUAUCAUAAGAAAAAAAUGUAAAUUCCUCUUUUUCCCCCAGAAUGCAGUAGGUCAGUGAGUAUUGCGAUUAACCAGCAUCUGACGCCUGGGACAUUGAAUCUCAAGAAAUUCAUGAGAUUUUAUGCCCGUGACAUCAGUGAUACAUGGGAAAUACUGUUUAUACUAACUAUGGGUAAAAUACUGAAUUGUCUAACUCCAUUUGUAUUGUUGAGUAAUUCUGUUAACCUCUGGCCUUACAUUUUUCAUCUGGAAAGCAGGGCUGGACCAACUGGUCUCCAAAGGCAUUCUUAGUGCUAACAAUCUAAUUUUUUUUCUCGUUUCCUUUUUGUGUACACGUAAGCGUGAGGUGUGAGUUCAAGCCUAUGACAUUUAAAUAAAAUGUUCUGUCUCCAUCACUGUAAUGGCAAAGGAAUAAAAGAUUUUUUCUUUCUAAA